AGUGAACGCUGGCGGUAUGCCUAACACAUGCAAGUCGAACGGCAGCACAGUAAGAUCUUGCUCUUACGGGUGGCGAGUGGCGGACGGGUCAGGAAUACAUCGUAAUCUACUCUUUCGUGGGGGUUCACGUAGCGAAACUUACGCUAAUACCGCAUACGAUCUAUGGUUGAAAGCAGGGGAUCUUUUGACCUUUCGCGAUUGAAUUAGCCGCUUUUGGGUUUGCUGGUUGGCGGGGUAAUGGCCCACCAAGGCGACGGUCCGUUGCUGGUCUGAGAGGAUGAUGAGCCACACUGGAACUGAGACGCGGUCAAGACUCCUACGGGAGGCAGCAGUGGCGGAUAUUGGACAGUGGGCGGAAGCAUGGAACAGCCAGACAGCGUGGGAGGAGAAAGCGUUCGGGGUGGAAAGACGUUUUGUGGGGAAAGAAAAGCAGCAGGUUAAUACCCCGCUGUACUGACGGUACCCAAAGAAUAAGCACCGGCUAACUUCGUG
rnacentral:rRNA from 1 species